rnacentral:rRNA from 1 species
GGGGAAUCUUGCGCCAUGGGCGAAACUCUGACGCAGCAAUACCGCGUGCGUGAAGAAGGUUUUCGGAUCGUAAAGCUCUGUUAUUGGGGAAGAAAAAAAGACGGUACCAAAGAAGAAAGUUCCGGCUAACGUCGUGCCAGCAGCCGCGGUAAUACGUAGGGGACAAGCGUUGUCCGGAUUUACUGGGCGUAAAGGGCACGCAGGCGGUUUUUUAAGUCAGAUGUGAAAGGUACCGGCUCAACCGGUGACAUGCAUUUGAAACUGAAAGACUUGAGUAUGGGAGAGGCAAGUGGAAUUCCUAGUGUAGCGGUGAAGUGCGUAGAUAUUAGGAGGAACACCGGUGACGAAGGCGGCUUGCUGGACAAAUACUGACGCUGAGGUGCGAAAGCGUGGGGAGCAAACA